AUGCAAGUGUCAGCACAUGCCGCCAAAUGGCUAAGCCGCGAACGGCUCAUUAAAUCAGCUAUGGUUCCUUAGAUCUUCGGCCGCGUCCUCGGACGUGGCGUUUGGAUAACUGUGGUAAUUCUAGAGCUAAUACAUGCCUGUCGCCGUCGGGGCCCGCGAGGGUCGCGACGUCUUUAUCCCGUCAAGACCAGCCAACGCAGCGCGGUUCUCGGACCGUGGCGGUUGACCUCUUUGAUGAACUCUGGAUAACUCCACUUGACCGCAUGGCCUUGCGCCGGCGGCUGAUCUAAUAAAUGUCUGCCUUAUCAACUGUCGACGGUAGGAGCCCGGCCUACCGUGGUGAUAACGGGUAGCGGGGAAUAAGGGUUCUAUACCGGAGAGGGAGCAUGAGAAACGGCUACCACAUCCAAGGAAGGCAGCAGGCACGCAAAUUACCCACUCCCGGCACGGGGAGGUAGUGACGAUCAAUAACGAUGCGGGACUCUGACGAGGCUCCGUAAUCGGAAUGGGCGUAAUUUAAAUCCUUCGACGAGGAUCAAGUGGAGGGCAAGUCUGGUGCCAGCAGCCGCGGUAAUUCCAGCUCCACUAGCGUAUAUUAAAGUUGCUGCAGUUAAAAAGCUCGUAGUCGGAUCUCGGGAUCGUGUCGGUGAUUUGGUUGCUUCUCCUGCGUUUCGGCGUUGGGGGUUGUGGCCGGUCAUCGGCCCUGCCGGCGAGGUCCCUACCUU
rnacentral:rRNA from 1 species